AACGAACGCUGGCGGCAGGCUUAACACAUGCAAGUCGAACGCCCCGCAAGGGGAGUGGCAGACGGGUGAGUAACGCGUGGGAACAUACCCUUUUCUACGGAAUAGCUCUGGGAAACUGGAAUUAAUACCGUAUACGCCCUACGGGGGAAAGAUUUAUCGGGGAAGGAUUGGCCCGCGUUGGAUUAGCUAGUUGGUGGGGUAAAGGCCUACCAAGGCGACGAUCCAUAGCUGGUCUGAGAGGAUGAUCAGCCACAUUGGGACUGAGACACGGCCCAAACUCCUACGGGAGGCAGCAGUGGGGAAUAUUGGACAAUGGGCGCAAGCCUGAUCCAGCCAUGCCGCGUGAGUGAUGAAGGCCUUAGGGUUGUAAAGCUCUUUCACCGAUGAAGAUAAUGACGGUAGUCGGAGAAGAAGCCCCGGCUAACCUCGUG
rnacentral:rRNA from 1 species